rnacentral:rRNA from 1 species
UACAAUUGGAGAGUUUGAUCCUGGCUCAGAACGAACGCUGGCGGCGUGCCUAACACAUGCAAGUCGAGCGCGAAUGGAGCAAUCCUAGUAGAGCGGCGCACGGGUGCGUAACACGUGGAUAAUCUGCCUGGGUGUCUGGGAUA